UUUUUCAUUGUAUUUUUUCCUCAUUGAGUUUGUUAUGAAGACUUGUAUUGGUAAAGUUACAUGUAUAGAACGCGACGUGACCGAGGCGUGACUACUGCUAUGACCUCCGCCGCUCCUAACGCUCCUAACACUACUAACACUACUGGAAGACUGCGUUUCCUUAUCACAGGCUGUGGUGUGUGUGGUGUGUGAGAGAGAGAGAGAGAGAGAGAGAGAGAGAGAGAGAGAGAGAGAGAGAGAGAGAGAGAGAGAGAGAGAGAGAGAGAGAGAGAGAGAGAGAGAGA